AGUCGAGUAGUUUGGGAAUGCUGCUCUAAAUGGGAGGUAAAUCUCUUCUAAAGCUAAAUACCGGCCAGAGACCGAUAGCGCACAAGUAGAGUGAUCGAAAGAUGAAAAGCACCUUGAAAAGGGGGUUAAAUAGUACGUGAAAUUGUUGAAAGGGAAGCACUUAUGACCAGACUUGGGCCGGGCGGCUCAUCAGGGGUUCUCCCCCUGUGCACUCCGCCCGGUACAGGCCAGCAUCGGUUUUCGCGGGGGGAUAAGACGGUCAGGAACGUAGCACCCUCCGGGGUGUGUUAUAGCCUGGCUGACGAUACCCUCGCGGGGACCGAGGUUCGCGCUCCGCAAGGAUGCUGGCGUAAUGGUCAUCAGUGACCCGUCUUGAAACACGGACCAAGGAGUCGUCCAUUAGAGCGAGCGUUUGGGUGUAAAACCCGCACGCGUAAUGAAAGUGAACGCAGGUGAGAGCUUCGGCGCAUCAUCGACCGAUCCUGAUGUUCUCGGAAGGAUUUGAGUAAGAGUUUUAACGGACGGACCCGAAAGACAGUGAACUAUGCUUGUAUAGGGUGAAGCCAGAGGAAACUCUGGUGGAGGCUCGCAGCGGUUCUGACGUGCAAAU
rnacentral:rRNA from 1 species